UGAUAAUCAGCGUCAAUGACCACUAGUGCAGUAACUCCUUUCCUGGCUGGACUCCGGCAGGAGGAGCUCCAAAUGACCAGGAGGUUACUCAAGAUCCCAAGACACUACAACAGAUACCAAGGAAGCCCUUGGAGAAGUGUAAUGUCUGAGGCACCACAGGCAGCAAAGGCACACUCGUAUCUGGAAUAGAUGUCCACGGCAACCCAGAAGAAGUAUUGACAGUGUUCUACAAAAAUAUCCAUGUUAUAAAGGACUAAAAAAGGCUGUGGAAAUGUUCUAGAAGCAGAAGACUAAAGAGGUAGGACAAGAAACACAACAUGUGAUCGUAGACAGGAGCCUAUCCUGGAAGGGGCAGAGACUGUAAAGACCAACAUUGGGAUAAUUGAGAAAACUGGAAUGCAGACGGGAGGGUAGGUGCCAAGACCACAUCAACAUCAAAUCUAGUGAGGUCAGUGUACACUUUUGUAGAGACGAUUUUUAUUCUGGGCAAACACAUACUGAAACAUUUACGGGCACAGUGAUAUAGGCAGCCUAUUCUCAGAUGAAUCAGGAAAGAAUAAUAUUAUGAAUACAGACAGAAGGGAAGGGGUAGAGAGAGGCAGAGAUGAAGCAAAAGCCAACCAACAAUGUGUGAAUCACAGUCCAGAAUAUACAGGUGUUUUCUGUACUUUUUUUUGAAUCUAUUGUAGAAGUUCAAAAUUAUUACCAAAUGAUAGAUGGAUUAAGUCCUACCUGAGUGUAGUGAACACAUCCUCAUAGAGAACUUUCUACACUCCCCGUGCCUGGAGGCCUCCAGAGGCUGGAAGUCCGCAGGAAGGCUGACCUCCCCAGUUUGGAUCCCUCAGCUGACUUGUGACUGUGCCUCCUGGCCCAGUUUCAAGAGAAAGAAAUGCUGGGAACCCGCCCCCCACAUACUCAGUUCAUCUGCAUCUUAAAGAGGAGCCACUUUUCCACAGCAGACUAAUUAGAUUUGUCUUUCCUGCGGUCAUUACCAAGAGGUCAUUGGAAGCUGAAUAAAUCAACACAUUCUGAUUUGCAAUUUC